rnacentral:rRNA from 2 species
UUUGGCCUCGGAUCAGGCGGGGAUACCCGCUGAACUUAAGCAUAUCAAUAAGCGGAGGAAAAGAAACCAACCGGGAUUGCCCCAGUAACGGCGAGUGAAGCGGCAACAGCUCAAAUUUGAAAUCUGGAGUCCUUGGUGGCUUCCGAGUUGUAAUUUGCAGAGGGAGCCUCGGAGGGCUGGUCGGUCCAAGUGCCUUGGAACAGGAUACCGCAGAGGGUGAGAGUCCCGUAUCCGGCCGACGCAGUGCUCCGUGUGAGGCCUCUUCGACGAGUCGAGUUGUUUGGGAAUGCAGCUCUAAGUGGGUGGUAAAUUCCAUCUAAAGCUAAAUACUGGCCAGAGACCGAUAGCGAACAAGUAGAGUGAUCGAAAGAUGAAAAGCACUUUGAAAAGAGAGUUAAACAGUACGUGAAAUUGUUGAAAGGGAAGCGCAUGGGGGCAGACUUGGGCGCGGGGUUCAGGGUCUCUUUUUUGGAGGCGUGUACUUCCCCGCGGACAGGCCAGCAUCGGUUCUGGGGGCCGGACAAAGGCGAUGGGAACGUGGCUCUCUUCGGGGAGUGUUAUAGCCCGACGUGCAAUGCGGCCACCUGGGACCGAGGACCGCGCUUCGGCAAGGAUGCUGGCGUAAUGGCCUCAUGCGGCCCGUCUUGAAACACGGACC